rnacentral:tRNA from 1 species
AUUUAAAUAGUUUAAAAAAACAUUAUAUUUUCAUUAUAAAAUUAGAGUUUCUCUUUUAAAUU